UACGUAGGGUGCGAGCGUUGUCCGGAAUUAUUGGGCGUAAAGGGCUCGUAGGCGGUCUGUUGCGUCAGGAGUGAAAACUCGGGGCUUAACCCCGAGCCUGCUUCUGAUACGGGCAGACUAGAGGUAUGCAGGGGAGAACGGAAUUCCUGGUGUAGCGGUGAAAUGCGCAGAUAUCAGGAGGAACACCCGUAGCGAAGGCGGCGCUCUGGGCCGAUACUGACACUGAGGAGCGAAAGCGUGGGGAGCGAACAGG
rnacentral:rRNA from 1 species